rnacentral:rRNA from 1 species
GACGAACGCUGGCGGCGUGCCUAACACAUGCAAGUCGAACGGAAAGGCCCUGCUUUUGUGGGGUGCUCGAGUGGCGAACGGGUGAGUAACACGUGAGUAACCUGUCCUUGACUUUGGGAUAACUUCAGGAAACUGGGGCUAAUACCGGAUAGGAGCUCCUGCUGCAUGGUGGGCGUUGGAAAGUUUCGGUGGUUGGGGAUGGACUCGCGGCUUAUCAGCUUGUUGGUGGGGUAGUGGCUUACCAAGGCUUUGACGGGUAGCCGGCCUGAGAGGGUGACCGGCCACAUUGGGACUGAGAUAGGGCCCGGACUCCUACGGGAGGCAGAAGUGGAGAAUAUUGCAGAGUGGGCGGAAGCCUGAUGCAGCGACGCCGCGCGCGGGAAAACGGCCUUCGGGUUGUAAACCGCUUUCGCCUGUGACGAAGCGUGAGUGACGGUAAUGGGUAAAGAAGCACCGGCUAACUACGUG